AUUGAACGCUGGCGGCAUGCUUUACACAUGCAAGUCGAACGGCAGCGCGGGCUUCGGCCUGGCGGCGCGUGGCGAACGGGUGAGUAAUGCAUCGGAACGUGCCCAGUAGUGGGGGAUAGCCCGGCGAAAGCCGGAUUAAUACCGCAUACGACCUGAGGGUGAAAGCGGGGGACCGAAAGGCCUCGCGCUAUUGGAGCGGCCGAUGUCGGAUUAGCUAGUUGGUGGGGUAAAGGCUUACCAAGGCGACGAUCCGUAGCUGGUCUGAGAGGACGACCAGCCACACUGGAACUGAGACACGGCCCAGACUCCUACGGGAGGCAGCAGUGGGGAAUUUUGGACAAUGGGGGCAACCCUGAUCCAGCCAUGCCGCGUGCGGGAAGAAGGCCUUCGGGUUGUAAACCGCUUUUGUUCGGGAAGAAAUCCUCUGGGCUAAUACCCCGGGGGGAUGACGGUACCGGAAGAAUAAGCACCGGCUAACUACGUG
rnacentral:rRNA from 1 species